rnacentral:tRNA from 1 species
GCACCGUUCGUCUAGGGGUUAGGACACCGCUCUUUCACAGCGGUAACACGGGUUCAAUUCCCGUACGGUGUACAA